rnacentral:rRNA from 1 species
CGAACGGGUGAGUAAUGCGUGACCAACCUGCCCCAUGCUCCAGAAUAGCUCUUGGAAACGGGUGGUAAUGCUGGAUGCUCCAACUUGACGCAUGUAUUGUUGGGAAAGUGUUUAGUGGCAUGGGAUGGGGUCGCGUCCUAUCAGCUUGUAGGCGGGGUAAUGGCCCACCUAGGCUUCGACGGGUAGCCGGCCUGAGAGGGCGGACGGCCACAUUGGGACUGAGAUACGGCCCAGACUCCUACGGGAGGCAGCAGUC